rnacentral:lncRNA from 1 species
AAAAAAAAAAAAAUUUAUUUUCUAAUUAUUUACAUUUAUAUUUUUAAAGAUAAAUAGUUAUUUUAUAUUAAUAUAUAUGAUAUAUAUUAGAAUUCAAAAAAAUUUUAAGCUAUUUAAGUAUUUAAAGAAAAGUUUUGAAGUCGGAGCCUAUUCCUUUUCACCAAAGAUUAGGUUCGGGAUAAAACAGGCUUCAUAGCUGAAAAUUAUAUUUAUUUCGUUGUUUGUUCUGUAUAACUGUGAAGCUGUAGUUUUUUCAAUUUUACUCUUUGUUUAGCAGAAAGUAAUUGGCGUAAAAGUUACAGGUACGAAAGACGUGUUAAUAUAAAUAUUUGAGUUUCGACCAAAGCUGAAAUUUCAGCGAACAAGA